rnacentral:rRNA from 1 species
CCUACGGGGGGCAGCAGUGGGGAAUAUUGGACAAUGGGGGGAACCCUGAUCCAGCCAUGCCGCGUGUGUGAAGAAGGCCCUCGGGUUGUAAAGCACUUUCAGUGAGGAAGAACGCCUGGUGGUUAAUACCCAUCAGGAAAGACAUCACUCACAGAAGAAGCACCGGCUAACUCCGUGCCAGCAGCCGCGGUAAUACGGAGGGUGCGAGCGUUAAUCGGAAUUACUGGGCGUAAAGCGCGCGUAGGUGGCUUGAUAAGCCGGUUGUGAAAGCCCCGGGCUCAACCUGGGAACGGCAUCCGGAACUGUCAAGCUAGAGUGCAGGAGAGGAAGGUAGAAUUCCCGGUGUAGCGAUGAAAUGCGUAGAGAUCGGGAGGAAUACCAGUGGCGAAGGCGGCCUUCUGGACUGACACUGACACUGAGGUGCGAAAGCGUGGGUAGCAAACAGGAUUAGAUACCCUUGUAGUC